AAUGAUGACCCUCUGAUGUUUGAAACUGUGGGGACGAGAAAUUGUGAACGUGCAGGCGUAGGAAAUGCGUGAUGAUCCAGUGUAGAGAGAGGGAUAGAGGGGCCGGACCGCCGGUGGGCGGGUUUGUGAUUUAUGGUUAGGUGGAGUAGUGCAUUAGGACUACGGAAGGAUGUCAUUGAUCCGUUGGAUGAAGAACAUGGACGGUCUAGAUUUGUUAGACCAUGGCCGGUUUUCAGGUCGAUUUGAAGUCCAGAUCCGACUAUUAGACGCAUGUGUCAGCUACUGCCUACAGCGAGGAAUUAGUUGAGGAUGGCAGGUUAUCUUCCCAAAAUAGCUUUGAUCAAGUCAAAAAAAAAAAAAGGCAAAAAUAUUUAAAAACUAACGCCUAUUUUAUUCUCA
rnacentral:lncRNA from 1 species